UACGAAGGGGGCUAGCGUUGUUCGGAUUUACUGGGCGUAAAGCGCACGUAGGCGGGUCGUUAAGUCGGGGUGAAAUCCUGGAGCUCAACUCCAGAACUGCCUUCGAUACUGGCGACCUAGAGUCCGGAAGAGGGUGAGUGGAACUCCUAGUGUAGAGGUGGAAUUCGUAGAUAUUAGGAAGAACACCAGUGGCGAAGGCGGGCUCACUGGUC
rnacentral:rRNA from 1 species